rnacentral:rRNA from 1 species
AUUGAACGCUGGCGGCAGGCCUAACACAUGCAAGUCGAGCGAGCGGCGGACGGGUGAGUAAUGUCUGGGAAACUGCCUGAUGGAGGGGGAUAACUACUGGAAACGGUAGCUAAUCCCGCAUACAAUCAGAUGUGCCCAGAUGGGAUUAGCUAGUAGGUGGGGUAACGGCUCACCUAGGCGACGAUCCCUAGCUGGUCUGAGAGGAGGACCAACCACACGGGGACUUGAACACGGUCCAGACUCCUACGGGGGGCAGCAGUGGGGAAUAUGUGAAAAUGGGGGGAAGCCUGAGGCGGCCAUGCCGGGGGUGGGAAGAAGGCCUUCGGGUUGUAAAGCACUUUCAGGGGGGAGGCGUUACCCGAAGAAGAAGCACCGGCUAACUCCGUGCCAGCAGCCGCGGUAAUAA